rnacentral:rRNA from 1 species
GACGAACGCUGGCGGCGUGCUUAACACAUGCAAGUGGAGCGACGAACCGGGGCUUGCCCCGGGGCAGAGCCGCGAACGGGUGAGUAACACGUGGGUAACCCGCCUCAAUGAUUGGGACAACCCGGGGAAACUCGGGCUAAUACCAAAUGUGUUCACUCCUUCUAAGGGGAGUGAGGAAAGGAAGCUUCGGCCUCCGCAUUGAGAUGGGCCCGCGGCCCAUUAGCUUGUUGGUGAGGUAACGGCUCACCAAGGCUUCGAUGGUAGCUGGUCUGAGAGGACGAUCAGCCACACUGGGACUGAGACACGGCCCAGACUCCUACGGGAGGCAGCAGUGGGAAUCUUGCACAAUGCGCGAAAGCGUGAUGCAGCAACGCCGCGUGGGGGAAGACGGCCUC